rnacentral:lncRNA from 1 species
AAACAUAAUCCUUAAGGUAAGAAGGGGUAGUGUGAGGUCUGGUGGAUUUUCUGGGCAGGGGAACAGGCUGGGAAGCAGGUAAGUCAGGAGAGGAAGGAAGAGGAAUUGAGACAGGAGAGGAGCUAGUAGGAGAAGAAGGUGUAGGAGCAUUAGAAGAGGGUAAUGAAGGGGAAUAUUCAAAGAUGUCAUCAGAAAGAGGAGCAG